GACGAACGCUGGCGGCGCGCCUAACACAUGCAAGUCGAACGAGAGAGAGGGAGCUUGCUUCCUCGAUCGAGUGGCGAACGGGUGAGUAACGCGUGAGGAACCUGCCUCAAAGAGGGGGACAACAGUUGGAAACGACUGCUAAUACCGCAUAAGCCCACGGCUCGGCAUCGAGCAGAGGGAAAAGGAGCAAUCCGCUUUGAGAUGGCCUCGCGUCCGAUUAGCUAGUUGGUGAGGUAACGGCCCACCAAGGCGACGAUCGGUAGCCGGACUGAGAGGUUGAACGGCCACAUUGGGACUGAGACACGGCCCAGACUCCUACGGGAGGCAGCAGUGGGGAAUAUUGCACAAUGGGGGAAACCCUGAUGCAGCGACGCCGCGUGGAGGAAGAAGGUCUUCGGAUUGUAAACUCCUGUUGUUGAGGAAGAUAAUGACGGUACUC
rnacentral:rRNA from 1 species